UAUAAGCUGCGGGGAAUUGUCAGACGAAUUUUGAUCCGCAGAUUUCUGAAUGGGGAAACCCAAUCAAUUUAUUGAUUAUUGCAUAUUGAAUACAUAGAUAUGCAAGGCAAACCUGGUGAACUGAAAUAUCUCAGUAGCUAGAGGAAAGGAAAUCAAAAGAGACUCCGUUAGUAGUGACGAGCGAACACGGACCAGGCCAGUGGUUUAUAAUUAAAAAUUAGAAUACUUUGGAAAGAGUAGCCAUAGAUGGUGAUAGCCCAGUAUAAGUAAAAAAAUUAUAAAUCCUUGAGUAGGACGGGACACGUGAAAUCCUGUUUGAAGAUGGGGGGACCAUCCUCCAAGCCUAAGUACUCCUUAACGACCGAUAGUGGACAAGUACCGUGAGGGAAAGGUGAAAAGAACCCCGGGAGGGGAGUGAAAUAGACCCUGAAAUCGAAUGCUUACAACCAGUUGGAGCCUUAUACUUAUAUUU
rnacentral:rRNA from 1 species